AUACGUAGGGGGCGAGCGUUGUCCGGAAUGAUUGGGCGUAAAGGGCGCGUAGGCGGCCUGUUAAGUCUGGAGUGAAAGUCCUGUUUUUAAGAUGGGAAUUGCUUUGGAUACUGUCGGGCUUGAGUGCAGGAGAGGUAAGUGGAAUUCCCAGUGUAGCGGUGAAAUGCGUAGAGAUUGGGAGGAACACCAGUGGCGAAGGCGACUUACUGGACUGUAACUGACGCUGAGGCGCGAAAGUGUGGGGAGCAAACAGGAUUAGAUACCCUGGUAGUCCACACUGUAAACGAUGAAUGCUAGGUGUAGGGGGUAUCGACCCCUUCUGUGCCGCAGUCAACACAAUAAGCAUUCCGCCUGGGGAGUACGGCCGCAAGGUUGAAACUCAAAGGAAUUGGCGGGG
rnacentral:rRNA from 1 species